rnacentral:rRNA from 1 species
GACGAACGCUGGCGGCGUGCCUAACACAUGCAAGUCGAGCGGGGACUUGGGAGCUUGCUUCCAAGUUCUAGCGGCGGACGGGUGAGUAACGCGUGAGCAACCUGCCUCAAACAGGGGGAUAACGCAUCGAAAGAUGUGCUAAUACCGCGUAAGACCACAGUGCCACAUGGCACAGGGGUCAAAGGAGCAAUCCGGUUUGAGAUGGGCUCGCGUCCGAUUAGCUAGUUGGUGAGAUAACGGCCCACCAAGGCGACGAUCGGUAGCCGACCUGAGAGGGUGAUCGGCCACAUUGGGACUGAGACACGGCCCAA